AUUGAACGCUGGCGGCAGGCCUAACACAUGCAAGUCGAACGGUAACAGGAAGCAGCUUGCUGCUUCGCUGACGAGUGGCGGACGGGCGAGUAAUGUCUGGGAAGCUGCCUGAUGGAGGGGGAUAACUACUGGAAACGGUAGCUAAUACCGCAUAAUGUCGCAAGACCAAAGAGGGGGACCUUCGGGCCUCUUGCCAUCGGAUGUGCCCAGAUGGGAUUAGCUUGUUGGUGGGGUAACGGCUCACCAAGGCGACGAUCCCUAGCUGGUCUGAGAGGAUGACCAGCCACACUGGAACUGAGACACGGUCCAGACUCCUACGGGAGGCAGCAGUGGGGAAUAUUGCACAAUGGGCGCAAGCCUGAUGCAGCCAUGCCGCGUGUAUGAAGAAGGCCUUCGGGUUGUAAAGUACUUUCAGCGGGGAGGAAGGGAGUAAAGUUAAUACCUUUGCUCAUUGACGUUACCCGCAGAAGAAGCACCGGCUAACUCCGUG
rnacentral:rRNA from 1 species